GCCGAUAUAGCUCAGUCGGUAGAGCGACUGAUUCGUAAUCAGUAGGCCAGGGGUUCAAGUCCCCUUAUCGGCUCCA
rnacentral:tRNA from 1 species